rnacentral:rRNA from 1 species
UGGGGAAUAUUGGACAAUGGGGGGAACCCUGAUCCAGCCAUGCCGCGUGUGUGAAGAAGGCCUUAUGGUUGUAAAGCACUUUAAGCGAGGAGGAGGGUACUGGUAUUAAUACUACCAGGUACUGGACGUUACUCGCAAAAAAAGCACCGGCUAACUCGGUGCCAGCAGCGGCGGUAAUACAGAGGGUGCAAGCGUUAAUCGGAAUUACUGGGCGUAAAGCGCGCGUAGGUGGUUCGUUAAGUUGAAUGUGAAAGCCCCGGGCUCAACCUGGGAACUGCAUCCAAAACUGGCGAGCUAGAGUAGGGCAGAGGGUGGUGGAAUUUCCUGUGUAGCGGUGAAAUGCGUAGAUAUAGGAAGGAACACCAGUGGCGAAGGCGACCACCUGGGCUCAUACUGACACUGAGGUGCGAAAGCGUGGGGAGCAAACAGG